rnacentral:rRNA from 1 species
UACGGAGGAUGCAAGCGUUAUCCGGAAUGAUUGGGCGUAAAGCGUCCGCAGGUGGCUAUGUAAGUCUGCUGUUAAAGGGUGAGGCUCAACCUCAUAAGAGCAGUGGAAACUACAUGGCUAGAGUGCGUUCGGGGCAGAGGGAAUUCCUGGUGUAGCGGUGAAAUGCGUAGAGAUCAGGAAGAACACCGGUGGCGAAAGCGCUCUGCUAGGCCGCAACUGACACUCAUGGACGAAAGCUAGGGGAGCGAAUGGG